rnacentral:rRNA from 1 species
UAGAGUUUGAUCAUGGCUCAGGAUGAACGCUGGCGGCGUGCUUAACACAUGCAAGUCGAACGGACUCAUAUUGAAACCUAGUGAUUUAUGAGUUAGUGGCGGACGGGUGAGUAACGCGUGGAUAACCUGCCGUAUACCGGGGGAUAACACUUAGAAAUAGGUGCUAAUACCGUAUAAGCGCACGGCUCCGCAUGGGGCAGUGUGAAAAACUCCGGUGGUAUACGAUGGAUCCGCGUCUGAUUAGCUAGUUGGCGGGGUAACGGCUCACCAAGGCAGCGAUCAGUAGCCGGCCUGAGAGGGUGGACGGCCACAUUGGGACUGAGACACGGCCCAAACUCCUACGGGAGGCAGCAGUGGGGAAUAUUGCACAAUGGGGGAAACCCUGAUGCAGCGACGCCGCGUGAGUGAAGAAGUAUCUCGGUACGUAAAGCUCUAUCAGCAGGGAAGAAAAUGACGGUACCUGACCAAGAAGCCCCGGCUAACUACGUGCCAGCAGCCGCGGUAAUACGUAGGGGGCAAGCGUUAUCCGGAUUUACUGGGUGUAAAGGGAGCGUAGACGGCAGCACAAGUCUGGAGUGAAAUCCCGGGGCUUAACCCCGGAACUGCUUUGGAAACUGUGCGGCUGGAGUGCAGGAGGGGUAAGCGGAAUUCCUAGUGUAGCGGUGAAAUGCGUAGAUAUUAGGAGGAACACCGGUGGC